rnacentral:rRNA from 1 species
UACGUAGGGUGCAAGCGUUAAUCGGAAUUACUGGGCGUAAAGCGUGCGCAGGCGGUGAUGUAAGACAGAUGUGAAAUCCCCGGGCUCAACCUGGGAACUGCAUUUGUGACUGCAUCGCUAGAGUACGGCAGAGGGGGAUGGAAUUCCGCGCGUAGCAGUGAAAUGCGUAGAUAUGCGGAGGAACACCGAUGGCGAAGGCAAUCCCCUGGGCCUGUACUGACGCUCAUGCACGAAAGCGUGGGGAGCAAACAGG